AUUGAACGCUGGCGGCAUGCUUUACACAUGCAAGUCGAACGGUAGCAGGCCGCAAGGUGCUGACGAGUGGCGAACGGGUGAGUAAUGCAUCGGAACGUGCCCAGUCGUGGGGGAUAACUACUCGAAAGAGUAGCUAAUACCGCAUACGAUCUAUGGAUGAAAGCGGGGGACCGUAAGGCCUCGCGCGAUUGGAGCGGCCGAUGUCAGAUUAGGUAGUUGGUGGGGUAAAGGCUCACCAAGCCAACGAUCUGUAGCUGGUCUGAGAGGACGACCAGCCACACUGGGACUGAGACACGGCCCAGACUCCUACGGGAGGCAGCAGUGGGGAAUUUUGGACAAUGGGCGCAAGCCUGAUCCAGCAAUGCCGCGUGCAGGAAGAAGGCCUUCGGGUUGUAGACUGCUUUUGUACGGAACGAAACGGCUCUGGUUAAUACCCGGGGCUAAUGACGGUACCGUAAGAAUAAGCACCGGCUAACUACGUG
rnacentral:rRNA from 1 species